rnacentral:lncRNA from 1 species
AGAGACAGGUUCUUUCACUUCUUGUCUCACCUGGAACAAUAUAUAUACACAGGCUGGCCUCAAAUUCACAGAAAUACUCUUGCCUCUGCUUCCCCAGUGCUGGCUACCACACCUGGAGUCUUUCUUAUCAAGCAUUAGAUUCUAACUGGGGCUGGAGAAACAGCUCAUUGGGUAAGGAUGCUUGCUGCCCAGGCUGAACACCAGCAUCCUGGGACCCACAUGGUUGAAGGAGAGAUAAAACCCAGAAGGUUGUCCUUGUACCUAUCCAUGCACUUAUUCACAUAUAUAGGCACAGAAAAACAAAUAAAUGCAAUGAAAAUAGUAUAUAAAAAGUCCAACUCUACUAGAUAGAAAAUGAAACCAUAAACAUACAUUGGAAAGCUAGCUGGGCAUAGCAUUGCUGGCCUGUAAUUCCAGAACUUUGAAGGCUGGGGCAGAAGGCUCAGGAGUUCAAGGUUAGCUUGGUCUACAUAUCAAGUUUCAGGCCAUAAGGUUACAUAGUGCAACCUUAUCUCAUAAAAGUAAAAAAAAAAAAAAGGUACCUAAUAAUUGUAGGGCACUUUAAGAAAAGCCCUAGCACUCACUAUCCAUGCAGCAUCAGUUGGCUUUGCUGGACAAUAAAAUCUCUGACUCCUGUAGCCUUCCCUCUGAUCCUUUAGGGGGAAUGUUCUGACUGGCUCAGCUGUAGCCUCCCCCAGCCUUGAGUAGGCUGGCUCUGACCUUGCUGCAACUGUGAACUAGACCACCUGGGGUGGAGCCUUCCCAUCUAGAUAGCUCUAUUGUUCUGUCACCUACAGCUGCUCUUUUUCAAGAAGCAGCUACAGCUGGGAGGCUGAACCUGUCUUCCUGAGAGAGCUGACAACCUGUGAACUUGGCAACCUAAUGCUAAUAGCUCUGACAGACUAGUGUUAACAACUUAGCAACAAAGCAUUAAGAAGCCUGGCAUAGCAGAGGAUGGGCCACUCCCCUUUAUAAGCACAGACUCUUAGUAAACAUUGGGCCUUGAUCAGAAACCUGCCUUGGUCUCUUUACUUAUUUCAUGUUCUCUCCUAUACAGCUCUGGCCUCCCACUCAGGAACUCAGCUAGUGUGGCCACAGGGGUUACAGGGUCAGAAGGCACCACUCCAGGUGGUCUCAUUCACAGUGGCAGCAAGUUCUGUGACAGCCUACUCAAGGCUGGGGGAGGAUACACUCAGCACAGCUUCUGUGUCUGGCUCCUGUUCUGAAAGUCUAUGGGGGGGAAUCUGCUAUGUAAGGACAGGCAGAUCUCAUGAGUUUAAGGCUGACCUGGGCCAGACAGUGAAGGCCCUCUUUUAAAAAGAACAAAGAGGCAAGUGGUGGUGACUGAGGCCUUUACUCCCUGAGCUACAGAGAGAGUUCCAGGGUAGUAAGAGCUACAGAGAGAAACCCUGCCUGAAAACAAGAAAAACAAGGUCGAUAGACAGUAAGGCAUCACUCUAAAAUUGUCCUCUAUGCUCCCCAUUGCUGUGUGUACACACACAAAGAGACAAUAGAAUUAUUGUUGAAAAAAUGAGAUUCAAUUGCAAUGAUAAAAUUCAUAAUGUCUGUUCUACCUCACAGGGAAGCCAUGAAAGUCUUCCCCUCACCAGACUGCUUUUGUUCUCACAGAUAAUACAGGAGUUGUCAGAUGCCCUGACCUACUGCCAUGAGAAGAAGGUGAUUCACAUGGACAUCAAGCCAGAGAAUCUCCUGCUGGGCCUCAAUGGUGAGGUGAAGAUCUCAGACUUUGGGUGGUCUGUGCAUUCCCCUUCUCUCAGAUAGGUUGGAUGGGGUGGAGGUGGGACACUCACACUAGUGAGGCAUUUCCCAAGUGAAUUCAUCUCACAUGGAAGGCCAAGAUACAAACUGGGCCUUGGGGGUAAAAAGCACCAUUUCCAAAUAUACACUUUUAAAAUGCACUUGCAAAUUAAAAGAAUUGGGUGGGUGGGGUGAUGAACUCAGUAGAUAAGAACAGGUCCUUUGUUAUCAGAAAACCUGAAUUUAAAUGAAAAGAACCUGCAAAUACCUGGCCAUGACUCUGGAUUAAUUUAACCCCUGCCUUGAGUGAUGGAGACAGGCAGAUCCUAAAAGCUGGCCAGCCUCUGGCAGAAAUGACUGGGUUAUGUCCAUUGAGAGACCUUGCCUUAAAGGAAUAUAGUGGGGAGCUUAAUAAAGACACUGAAUGUAGUCCUCUGUCUUUGUUAGUGUGUGUCUGUAGGCAUGUACACACACACACACACACACCACAAAUAGAGCUUUGCUU